AUUGAACGCUGGCGGCAGGCCUAACACAUGCAAGUCGAACGCGUGGCGGACGGGGGAGGAAUGUCUGGGAAAAUGCCUGAUGGGGGGGGACAACGUAGGAACACGGUAGCUAAUAACGAAUAACAUCAGAUGUGCCCAGAUGGGAGUAGCUAGGUGGGGGGGUAACGGCGCACCAAGGCGACGAUCCCUAGCUGGUCUGAGAGGAUGACCAGCCACACUGGAACUGAGCCACGGUCCAGACUCCUACGGGAGGCAGCAGUGGGGAAUAUUGCACAAUGGGCGCAAGCCUGAUGCAGCCAUGCCGCGUGUAUGAAGAAGGCCUUCGGGUUGUAAAGUACUUUCAGCGGGGAGGCGUUACCCGCAGAAGAAGCACCGGCUAACUCCGUGCCAGCCGCCGCGGUAAUAC
rnacentral:rRNA from 1 species